rnacentral:rRNA from 1 species
GACGAACGCUGGCGGCGUGCUUAACACGUGCAAGUCGAACGGAAAGGCCCUGCUUUUGUGGGGUGCUCGAGUGGCGAACGGGUGAGUAACACGUGAGUAACCUGCCCUUGACUUUGGGAUAACUUCAGGAAACUGGGGCUAAUACCGGAUAGGAGCUCCUGCUGCAUGGUGGGGGUUGGAAAGUUUCGGCGGUUGGGGAUGGACUCGCGGCUUAUCAGCUUGUUGGUGGGGUAGUGGCUUACCAAGGCUUUGACGGGUAGCCGGCCUGAGAGGGUGACCGGCCACAUUGGGACUGAGAUACGGCCCAGACUCCUACGGGAGGCAGCAGUGGGGAAUAUUGCACAAUGGGCGGAAGCCUGAUGCACCAACGCCGCGUGCGGGAUGACGGCCUUCGGGUUGUAAACCGCUUUCGCCUGUGACGAAGCGUGAGUGACGGUAAUGGGUAAAGAAGCACCGGCUAACUACGUG